UCAAAGGAUCUACUCAGAUCCAUUGACACGAAACAAUAAAGCCUAG
rfam:Picea glauca, whole genome shotgun sequence.